rnacentral:rRNA from 1 species
AUUGCCCCAGUAACGGCGAGUGAAGCGGCAACAGCUCAAAUUUGAAAUCUGGUCCCCAGGGCCCGAGUUGUAAUUUGCAGAGGAUGCUUUUGGUGAGGUGCCUUCCGAGUUCCCUGGAACGGGACGCCAUAGAGGGUGAGAGCCCCGUCUGGUUGGAUACCGAGCCUCUGUAAAGCUCCUUCGACGAGUCGAGUAGUUUGGGAAUGCUGCUCUAAAUGGGAGGUAUAUGUCUUCUAAAGCUAAAUAUUGGCCAGAGACCGAUAGCGCACAAGUAGAGUGAUCGAAAGAUGAAAAGCACUUUGAAAAGAGGGUUAAAUAGUACGUGAAAUUGUUGAAAGGGAAGCACUUAUGACCAGACUUGGCCCCGGUGAAUCAUCCAGCGGUUCCCGCUGGUGCACUUUGCCGGGGUUCAGGCCAGCAUCAGUUCGCUCCGGGGGAUAAAGGCUUUGGGAAUGUGGCUCCCUCGGGAGUGUUAUAGCCCAUUGCGCAAUACCCUGUGGCGGGCUGAGGUUCGCGCUUUAUGCAAGGAUGCUGGCAUAAUGGUCAUCAGUGACCCGUCUUGAAACACGGACCAAGGAGUCGUCUUCGUAUGCGAGUGUUCGGGUGUUAAACCCCUACGCGUAAUGAAAGUGAACGCAGGUGAGAGCCCUCCAGGGCGCAUCAUCGACCGAUCCUGAUGUUCUCGGAUGGAUUUGAGUAAGAGCAUACGGGGCCGGACCCGAAAGAAGGUGAACUAUGCCUGUAUAGGGUGAAGCCAGAGGAAACUCUGGUGGAGGCUCGCAGCGGUUCUGACGUGCAAAUCGAUCGUCAAAUAUGGGCAUGGGGGCGAAAGACUAAUCGA